GGUGAAUGAUGAGCUACGCAGUUGUGUUCAGAGGAGAUAAACCCCCACUGCAGUCUGAUACUUGAACUUUAACAUGUAGAAAUGUAUUUUCUCCUCAGAAGUAAUCUUAAAGAAUUUCCAGUGGAAGCAAAUGCAGUCAGAGUAGAAAUUUGUAUCAACUAACAACAACCUGAGCAAGAUGAUAACAACGGGCUGAACAAGGCAGCUGGGCAGUGGUGUCAUUUCUACCAGCGCACACUCAUAUGAGAAACAGAAGACUGAGAGGAGCAGCCAGGAUACAGCCAAAUCCUAUCAAACUUUUUACUCACUGAAGAAACUGAAGAAGAAACACUUUCUAGAGGUGAGUUUUAACCCAGGG
ensembl:lncRNA